rnacentral:pre_miRNA from 1 species
AGAAUGAUUGCUGAAAUGUAUGGUAAGGCUAUGCUUAAUUUUGUAAAAAACUAUCAAAUUGUCUUCCAAAGUGGUUAUGCAUUUUGUAUUCUCACCAGCAAU